rnacentral:rRNA from 1 species
UACGUAGGUCCCGAGCGUUGUCCGGAUUUAUUGGGCGUAAAGCGAGCGCAGGUGGUUUAUUAAGUCUGGUGUAAAAGGCAGUGGCUCAACCACUGUAUGCAUUGGAAACUGGUAGACUUGAGUGCAGGAGAGGAGGGUGGAAUUCCAUGUGUAGCGGUGAAAUGCGUAGAUAUAUGGAGGAACACCGGUGGCGAAAGCGGCUCUCUGGCCUGUAACUGACACUGAGGCUCGAAAGCGUGGGGAGCAAACAGG